GUCGAUGUCUACGUUAUUGACACUGGUACCAACGUCGAGCACGUCGACUUUGAGGGUCGCGCUGAGUGGGGAAAGACUAUCCCAGCCAACGACGCUGAUGAGGAUGGAAACGGACAUGGAACCCACUGCUCUGGCACUGUCGCCGGCAAGAAGUACGGUGUUGCCAAGAAGGCUCACAUCAAGGCCGUCAAGGUCCUGCGCUCCA
rnacentral:misc_RNA from 1 species